UGCGUAGGCUGUUCAUUAAGUGAGAUGUGAAAUCCCCCAGCUCAACUGGGGGAACUGCGUUUCAAACUGAUGAACUGGAGUGAGACAGGGGUCAGCGGAACUUGCGGUGGAGCGGUGAAAUGCUUUGAUAUUGCAAGGAACACCAGAGGCGAAGGCGGCUGACUGGGUCUUUUCUGACGCUGAAGCACGAAAGCUAGGGUAGCGAACG
rnacentral:rRNA from 1 species